rnacentral:rRNA from 1 species
CCCUUAGAUGUUCUGGGCCGCACGCGCGCUACACUGACUACUUCAACGAGUUGUUUCCUUGAUCGAAAGGUCUGGGUAAUCUUUGAAAGGUAGUCGUGAUGGGGAUAGAUCCUUGCAAUUUUUGAUCUUCAACGAGGAAUUCCUAGUAAACGCAAGUCAUCAGCUUGCAUUGAUUACGUCCCUGCCCUUUGUACACACCGCCCGUCGCACCUACCGAUUGAAUGGUCCGGUGAAUCUUUAGGACUGUGGCUGAGGCCUUGCCUUGUGUGGGUCUGGCCGUGGGAAUUUAGUUAAACCUUACCAUUUAGAGGAAGGUGAAGUCGUAACA